AAAGAGGAUUGGAGCUUGGAGGGAUGUUGUGAGACUUGGAAAAUCAGAGAACUGAAGUAAGGGGGACCCUGCCCCAGUGGAGGAGGGAGACUCUCUUCCCCACCAUCUAAGGACUGCAGGUACCCCAUCCAAGGGGGAAGAGGAUCUAAAGUCCAACUGGUGUGAAGGGCUUCGGAAUAUGUUUGCUUGGAACUAAACCCCAAUAAACAUCACGUUGCCUGCACUUCAAACUUCUGAUCUUCUGCUUUCUGUCUGCAUGACAAGAACCAGGGGAAAGGGUGAAGAGAAAGUGCUCUAAGACCAGAUAACCUGCAAAGUGAGACCUUUCUAUGCAUGGGGAUGUGGAAUUCGUGGCAUCUAUUAAAGGGUUAGUUUGAAAAUCAGCUCUCAGAAGUUUCAAGAUCCAUUGUCACUCACUAAGAACUCAAAAUGUUCUUCCAGAAUUGGAUGAGAGAUUUGGGUUAAGCUGAGUGGAAAGGUUGUGAAGAGAAUCCCAGCAUAAAUCAUGUCCUUUAAUCAGGAAGCCUAAAGUGUGCCUUGUGCUGUAUAGAUACACAGGAGGAAGCAGUCCCUAAUCUAAAAGGUUUAUAAUCUUAAAAAAAUAAAAGGAAGAAUUUUGAAUUGGAAAAAGGCAUGUCUGCACUGGAUGUGCGAUUCUUGUCUACAGCGACGCACAUACUCUGUUACUUGACCGUGUACGUGCUCUCACACGUUCCCAAUAACUGCACCAUGUGUCCAUAUAAGCUGUGCUGGACAUGGGUAUAAUACUAUGUACACAAGUAUACCCAUGUCCACACUGCUGUUAUGUGAUGUUAGCACUACCAUUUCAAGGGAGGUAUCCCAGGCUGUUUGCAUCACAGGGAGAUAUUCUAGGAAUCGCCUUGAAGUGUGUUGCUGGUACUGUCUCCUGCCUUCAUGAAUUUGCUGAUGGUAGCUCCUGCUCACCUCUCCCUCCUGCCAACCUGGUUGGAAGACAUGAAGCAACUGGAUGAGGAUCUGGUUCUACUCCUGCACCUUAUUGCAAGACACAUGGUUAUGUGCUGGAGUAGGCAAUCGGCAAGAUGCUGGAUAGAAUCUGCGCAGAACUUUCUGACAUGGUGAUGGCUGACCAUAAUGGUGAAUUACAAUCCAUUUGUGUCCCAUGGAACAGAUAUGGUGAAUGCUUGCAUUGCCAUUGUAUGAGCAUGGGUGGAUCAUCACUUCUGGCACAGGAGUCGCACACAGUGUGGCAGGAUCACAUCAUUUUAGAAACCUGGGAUGAUCGACAGUGGCUUCAGAACUUCCAAAUGAGGAUAUAGUCCUUCAUGGAGUGGUGUGAGGAGCUUGCACCAGAACACUUGAUUCAGGGAAGCCAUACUAGUGCAGAAAUAGGUGACUAUUGCCUUGUGGAAGCUGGCAACACCAGACAACUGUUUCAGUUGCACACCACUUGGGGGUUGGAAAGUCCACUGUUGUGGGAUCAUAGCUGUGCAGGUUUGCAUGGUAAUUAACACUGAUCUACCCAUGGGUGGCUGUCAUAAACAGAGUUCCAGAAAUAAUAGUUGGGUAUCGGAGGAUGAGAUUUCUGAAUCAUGCAGGGCAGGGGCCACCUGUGGGACCAAUAUCCCAAUACUUUGGGAUACACCAGAUAGGUCAAGUGAGUAUGUGAACUGGAAAGAUUAUUAUUCACUCACUCUGCAAGGCAUAGUGGACUACAGAUGAUUCAUGAAUACCAAUGUGUGAAAUACUGGAAAUGUUUGACACCUAGGUGCUGAGGACAUCAACAUUGUACUUGAGGAGCGGAGACUUUUUUUUCUGCAGAAAUUAUAAUUCUCUCUAGUUGGUCAGUGUCCACAGUUAUUUUGAAGCUGAUAAAACCACACCCUGAUGACAUCAUCCUGGAAAAGGAAAUUCAGUUAUGAACUCUAGCUUCAGAAUGGUCAUGGAAUAUGCAUUAGGUAGAAGGAGAAAGAAGGUGGUGGUGGUGCUGGUUGACAGUUCAGUGGCCAUGGUACAAGGAAGGUUCUUAAUUCAUUUAGUCACCACUACUAUGAACUGCCCUUUCUGCAAUCUGCAUAACUCCUGAACCAUUGCUAUCUGCAUGCUGGCCAAGAAAUGGACAGAUAGGUGCACAAUGCUUGUUUAAUCUGUUUUAAUCUUCUGCCAAUUGCAUAAUAGUGGUUAAAGGAAAAUUAAUAAAAUCAUUGAUUUAUAGCUUUGUCUGGCUCAGGGACCAUUUCAGGAUGGGGUGGAGUGGGGACAGGGCUUAAAUUUAGGAAUGUAGCACCAGAGCAAGAAGGGAUUGGCAGGGAGAGUGGAGGUUCAUUAUAAUUUACCAGUCUUGGGCUCUAGUUACUGCUGAGGCUCACGGUCCUCAGGCUCAUCGGUGGGAGGGGCUUCCACAACUGCCUCCUCCAGGUACAGAUGCAAAAUCACAUGAUCCUCUUCCACCAGGUGCAUCCUCUGUGGUCCCUGCUGCCAGCUCAUCCUGGUUCACGGAAACUAGGUACAUCUACACUAGUGCCUGUACAUGAAGAGUCACUCAUAGCUCAGUCAAUGAGAAACGGAAUUAAUACAAUAUGACCAAGGUGUAGGAUCAAAACAACACAUUUCAUAUUUCAAACAAUCACAGGGAAUUGCUAUAAACCAUCUAUCACUGAAAUUUG